rnacentral:rRNA from 1 species
GACGAACGCUGGCGGCGUGCUUAACACAUGCAAGUCGAGCGGAAAGGCCCUUCGGGGUACUCGAGCGGCGAACGGGUGAGUAACACGUGAGUAAUCUGCCCUUGGCUUUGGGAUAACUACCGGAAACGGUGGCUAAUACCGGAUACGACAACCGUCUGCAUGGGCUGGUUGUGGAAAGUUUUUUCGGCCAGGGAUGUGCUCGCGGCCUAUCAGCUUGUUGGUGGGGUAAUGGCCUACCAAGGCUUCGACGGGUAGCCGGCCUGAGAGGGUGACCGGCCACACUGGGACUGAGACACGGCCCAGACUCCUACGGGAGGCAGCAGUGGGGAAUAUUGGACAAUGGGCGGAAGCCUGAUCCAGCAAAGCCGCGGGAGGGAUGACGGCCUUCGGGUUGUAAACCUCUUUCAGUACCGACGAAGCGCCGAUGAUGGUGGUGACGGUAGGUACAGAAGAAGCACCGGCCAACUACGUG